rnacentral:misc_RNA from 1 species
GCAAACUUGGUCAUUUAGAGGAAGUAAAAGUCGUAACAAGGUCUCCGUAGGUGAACCUGCGGAGGGAUCAUUACCGAGCGAGGGCCCCCGGCCCGACCUCCAACCCUUUGCGAUGACCAUCUCUGUUGCCUCGGGGGUGACCCGGCCCUCGCGGCCCGGGGCCCCCGGCGGGCCAACCCAACACUCUGCGUCCCACGCGUCGGAGUCGAAGUAAAUCGUAAUCAAAACUUUCAACAACGGAUCUCUUGGUUCUGGCAUCGAUGAAGAACGCAGC